AACGCACCUUGCGCUCCUUGGUAUUCCGAGGAGCAUGCCUGUUUGAGUGUCAUUAAUAUAUCAACCUUCUCUUGUUUGAGUGGUUUGGAUUUGGGGGUUUGCUGGCCCUUCAAAGGGUUCAGCUCCCCUGAAAUGCAUUAGCAGAACACAAACAUGUUCAUUGGUGUGAUAACUAUCUACGCUAUUGAAUGUGAGGGAGCAGUUCAGCUUUCUAACAGUCCCCGGACAAAUUUAUCAUCAUUAAUGUGACCUCAAAUCAGGUAGGACUACCCGCUGAACUUAA
rnacentral:misc_RNA from 1 species